CUCGAUGGUGGCUGUGCGCAUGGCGCCUUCGGGCGCGCCGGUUUGGUGACUUCACCGGUCUACUAACUUGCGCACAGCUGCCACCAAU
rnacentral:antisense_RNA from 1 species